AACGAACGCUGGCGGCAGGCCUAACACAUGCAAGUCGAACGCCCCGCAAGGGGAGUGGCAGACGGGUGAGUAACACGUGGGAACCUUCCCAACAGUACGGAAUAGCCCAGGGAAACUUGGAGUAAUACCAUAUAUUCCCGAGAGGGGAAAGAUUUAUCGCUGUUGGAUGGGCCCGCGUCGGAUUAGCUAGUUGGUGAGGUAACGGCUCACCAAGGCGACGAUCCGUAGCUGGUUUGAGAGAAUGACCAGCCACACUGGGACUGAGACACGGCCCAGACUCCUACGGGAGGCAGCAGUGGGGGAUCUUGGACAAUGGGCGCAAGCCUGAUCCAGCCAUGCCGCGUGAGUGACGAAGGCCUUAGGGUUGUAAAGCUCUUUUGCCGGGGACGAUAAUGACGGUACCCGGAGAAUAAGUCCCGGCUAACUUCGUGCCAGCCGCCGCCGUAA
rnacentral:rRNA from 1 species